rnacentral:rRNA from 1 species
AACGAACGCUGGCGGCAUGCCUAACACAUGCGAGUCGAACGAUUGCCUUCGGGUGAUAGUGGCGCACGGGUGCGUAACGCGUGGGAAUCUGCCCUUAGGUUCGGAAUAACAGCUGGAAACGGCUGCUAAUACCGGAUGAUAUCGCGAGAUCAAAGAUUUAUCGCCUGAGGAUGAGCCCGCGUUGGAUUAGGUAGUUGGUGGGGUAAAGGCCUACCAAGCCGACGAUCCAUAGCUGGUCUGAGAGGAUGAUCAGCCACACUGGGACUGAGACACGGCCCAGACUCCUACGGGAGGCAGCAGUGGGGAAUAUUGGACAAUGGGCGCAAGCCUGAUCCAGCAAUGCCGCGUGAGUGAUGAAGGCCCUAGGGUUGUAAAGCUCUUUUACCCGGGAAGAUAAUGACUGUACCGGGAGAAUAAGCCCCGGCUAACUCCGUG